rnacentral:rRNA from 1 species
UACGUAGGGCGCAAGCGUUGUCCGGAAUUAUUGGGCGUAAAGAGCUCGUAGGUGGUCUGUUGCGUCCGCUGUGAAAACCUAAGGCUUAACCUUGGGCCUGCAGUGGAUACGGGCAGACUAGAGGUAGGUAGGGGAGAAUGGAAUUCCCGGUGUAGCGGUGAAAUGCGCAGAUAUCGGGAGGAACACCGGUGGCGAAGGCGGCCAUCUGGGACAACACUGACGCUGAGGCACGAAAGCGUGGGGAGCAAACAGG